rnacentral:rRNA from 1 species
AUUGAACGCUGGCGGCAGGCCUAACACAUGCAAGUCGAGCGGGUUUUCGGACCUAGCGGCGGACGGGUGAGUAAUGCGUAGGAAGCUACCCGAUAGAGGGGGAUACCAGUUGGAAACGACUGUUAAUACCGCAUAAUGUCUACGGACCAAAGCGGGGGACCUUCGGGCCUCGCGCGAUUGGAGCGGCCGAUAUCAGAUUAGGUAGUUGGUAGGGUAAAAGCCUACCAAGCCUACGAUCUGUAGCUGGUCUGAGAGGACGACCAGCCACACUGGAACUGAGACACGGUCCAGACUCCUACGGGAGGCAGCAGUGGGGAAUUUUGGACAAUGGACGCAAGUCUGAUCCAGCCAUUCCGCGUGCAGGACGAAGGCCUUCGGGUUGUAAACUGCUUUUGUACAGAACGAAAAGGUCUCUAUUAAUACUAGGGGCUCAUGACGGUACUGUAAGAAUAAGCACCGGCUAACUACGUG